ensembl:lncRNA
AGAGGAGAGAAGACGAGAGGAGAGAAGAGGAGGGGAGAGAAGAGGAGAGGAGAGAAGAGGAGGGGAGAGAAGAGGAGGGGGAGAAGAGGAGGGGAGAGAAGAGGAGAGGAGAGAAGAGGAGUGGAGAGAAGAGGAGAGGAGAGAAGAGGAGUGGAGAGAGGAGGGGAGAGGAGGGGAGAGAAGAGGAGAGGAGAGAAGAGGAGGGGGGAGAGAAGAGGAGGGGAGAGAAGAGGAGGGGAGAGAAGAGGAGGGGAGAGAAGAGGAGAGGAGGGAAGAGGAGAGAAGAGAGGGGAGAGAAGAGGAGAGAAGAGGAGGGGGAGAAGUGGAGGGGAGAGAAGAGGAGGGGGAGAAGAGGAGUGGAGAGAAGAGGAGGGGAGAGAAGAGGAGAGGAGGGAAGAGGAGGGGGAGAAGAGGAGGGGAGAGAAGAGGAGAGGAGAGAAGAGGAGAGGAGAGAAGAGGAGGGGAGAGAAGAGGAGAGGAGGGAAGGGGAGAGAAGAGGAGGGGAGAGAAGAGGAGCGAAGAGGAGGGGAGAGAAGAGGAGGGGGAGAAGAGGGGAGAGAAGAGGGGGAGAAGAGGAGUGGAGAGAAGAGGAGGGGAGAGAAGAGGAGAGGAGAGAAGAGGAGAGAAGAGGAGGGGAGAGAAGAGGAGGGGGAGAAAAGGAGGGGAGAGAAGAGGAGAGGAGAGAAGAGGAGGGGAGAGAAGAGGAGAGGAGGGAAGGGGAGAGAAGAGGAGGGGGAGAGAAGAGGAGAGAAGAGGGGGGAGAGAAGAGGAGGGGGAGAAGAGGAGGGGGAGAAGAGGAGAGGGGAGAAGAGGAGAGGAGAGAAGAGGAGGGGAGAAGGAGGGGAGAGAAGAGGAGAGAAGAGGAGAGGAGAGAAGAGGAGGGGAGAGAAGAGGAGGGGGAGAAGAGGAGGGGAGAGAAGAGGAGAGGGAGUGGAGAGAAGAGGAGAGGAGAGAAGAGGAGUGGAGAGAAGAGGAGGGGAGAGGAGGGGAGAGAAGAGGAGAGGAGAGAAGAGGAGGGGAGAGAAGAGGAGGGGGAGAAAAUGAGGGGAGAGAAGAGGAGGGGAGAGAAGAGGAGAGGAGGGAAGAGGAGAGAAGAGGAGGGGAGAGAAGAGGAGAGAAGAGGAGGGGGAGAAGAGGAGGGGGAGAAGUGGAGGGGAGAGAAGAGGAGGGGGAGAAGAGGAGUGGAGAGAAGAGGAGGGGAGAGAAGAGGAGGGGAGAGAAGAGGAGAGGAGAGAAGAGGAGAGAAGAGGAGGGGGGAGAAGAGGAGGGGAGAGAAGAGGAGGGGGAGAAGAGGAGGGGAGAGAAGAGGAGAGGAGAGAAGAGGAGAGGAGGGGAGAGAAGAGGAGGGGGAGAAGAGGAGGGGAGAGAAGAGGAGAGGAGAGAAGAGGAGGGGGAGAAGGAGGGAGAGAAGAGGAGAGAAGAGGAGAGGAGAGAAGAGGAGGGGAGAGAAGAGGAGGGGGAGAAGAGGAGGGGAGAGAAGAGGAGAGGAGUGGAGAGAAGAGGAGAGGAGAGAAGAGGAGAGGAGAGAAGAGGAGGGGAGAGGGGGGGAGAGAAGAGGAGAGGAGAGAAGAGGAGGGGAGAGAAGAGGAGGGGGAGAAAAUGAGGGGAGAGAAGAGGAGGGGAGAGAAGAGGAGAGGAGGGAAGAGGAGAGAAGAGGAGGGGAGAGAAGAGGAGAGAAGAGGAGGGGAGAGAAGAGGAGGGGGAGAAAGAAGAGGGGAGAGAAGAGGAGAGGAGAGAAGAGGGGAGAGAAGAGGAGGGGAGAGAAGAGGAGAGGAGGGAAA